rnacentral:lncRNA from 1 species
CUCGUUGUUCUCUACUGUAUUGAAGAUAAUUUCAAUAAAACGGAAACUUAAGUGAAUAUGAUCUAUAAUGAUCAAGAUAAUUGCGGUUCUUUAUAAUAGACCUAAGACGACAAAGAUAUCUUUAAAGAUUUGAGUUCUAUUUCUGUUAAUAUUCUGUAUGAGUUUUUUGCCGAUUCCCGCCGUGCCCUUUCUUUUGAUGAAAGAACCCGCCCUUUCCAGACGGCCAUAGCAAUUCCGAUGGUGAUUCCGUUAUGACGUCGUUGAAACAACGUUAAAUUACGGGAAACAAUAGACGACGUUUACGUCUGUUAUUACCUCCCCUGAAACUGUUGGAUAUGCCCUUAA